AACGAACGCUGGCGGCAGGCCUAACACAUGCAAGUCGAGCGAGAACGGUACUUCGGUACUUAUUAAAGCGGCAGACGGGUGCGUAACAUGUGGGAAUUUGCCCUUGGGUAAGGAAUAGCCCCGGGAAACUGGGAUUAAUACCUUAUGGUCCGGAAACGGUAAAGUUUUAUCGCCCAAGGAUAAGCCCGCACCUGAUUAGGUAGUUGGUAGGGUAAUGGCCUACCAAGCCUACGAUCAGUAGCUGGUCUGAGAGGAUGAUCAGCCACACUGGAACUGAGACACGGUCCAGACUCCUACGGGAGGCAGCAGUGGGGAAUAUUGGACAAUGGGGGAAACCCUGAUCCAGCCAUGCCGCGUGAGUGAUGAAGGCCUUCGGGUUGUAAAGCUCUUUCAACAGGGAAGAUAAUGACGGUACCUGUAGAAGAAGCCCCGGCUAACUUCG
rnacentral:rRNA from 1 species